rnacentral:rRNA from 1 species
ACGGAGGGUGCAAGCGUUGCUCGGAAUUACUGGGCGUAAAGCGUCCGCAGGCGGACGCGUAAGUCGGAUGUGAAAGCCCAGGGCUCAACCCUGGAACUGCAUUCGAAACUGCGUGUCUUGAGUACAGGAGAGGAAAGCGGAAUUCCUGGUGUAGAGGUGAAAUUCGUAGAUAUCAGGAGGAACACCUGUGGCGAAAGCGGCUUUCUGGCCUGAUACUGACGCUCAUGGACGAAAGCGUGGGGAGCAAACAGG